rnacentral:rRNA from 1 species
UACGUAGGGUGCGAGCGUUAAUCGGAAUUACUGGGCGUAAAGGGCGCGCAGGCGGUUUUGCAAGCCGGAUGUGAAAUCCCCGGGCUCAACCUGGGAAUGGCAUUUGGGACUGCAAGGCUCGAGUGCGGCAGAGGAGACUGGAAUUCCUGGUGUAGCAGUGAAAUGCGUAGAUAUCAGGAGGAACACCGGUGGCGAAGGCGGGUCUCUGGGCCGAUACUGACGCUGAGGAGCGAAAGCGUGGGGAGCGAACAGG